rnacentral:rRNA from 1 species
AACGUAGGUACCGAGCGUUAUCCGGAUUUACUGGGCGUAAAGCGCGUUCAGGCGGCUUCACAAGUCGGGCAUGAAAUCCUUCGGCUCAACCGGGGGAGGCUGUCCGAUACUGCGGAGCUUGAGGGCAGUAGAGGGUGGUGGAAUUCCGGGUGUAGUGGUGAAAUGCGUAGAGAUCCGGAGGAACACCAGUGGCGAAGGCAGCCACCUGGACUGCCCCUGACGCUGAAACGCGAAAGCUAGGGGAGCGAAC